GGAUGUGAAGGCGAUUUGGCUGUGACAUCUCUCACCCCAUUAAUCACCAGGGUUGAUUCAGCUGAUCUGGCUGGCUAGGUGGGUGUCCCCUUCCUCCCUCACUGCUCCAUGUGCAUCCUUCCUGAAGCUGCGCGCUUGGUCUAAGAGGACGACCAUCCCCGAUAGAGGAGGACUGUUCUUUGGUCAAGGGUAUACGAGUAGCUGCGCUCUCCUGCUAGAACCUCCAAAUAAGCUCUCAUAAAGGAACCAUCAAGCAUGAUGCAAGCAAGAAAACAUAAUAAAUUACUAAUCAGGGUAAAU
rnacentral:snRNA from 1 species